ACCUCAGUAGCUCAACGGACAGAGCACCGGUCUACGGAACCGGGGAUCCGGGUUCGACUCCUGGUUGAGAUA
rnacentral:tRNA from 1 species